GAUGAACGCUGGCGGCGUGCCUAAUACAUGCAAGUCGAGCGAACAGACGAGGAGCUUGCUCCUCUGACGUUAGCGGCGGACGGGUGAGUAACACGUGGAUAACCUACCUAUAAGACUGGGAUAACUUCGGGAAACCGGAGCUAAUACCGGAUAAUAUAUUGAACCGCAUGGUUCAAUAGUGAAAGACGGUGUUGCUGUCACUUAUAGAUGGAUCCGCGCCGCAUGAGCUAGUUGGUAAGGUAACGGCUUACCAAGGCAACGAUGCGUAGCCGACCUGAGAGGGUGAUCGGCCACACUGGAACUGAGACACGGUCCAGACUCCUACGGGAGGCAGCAGUAGGGAAUCUUCCGCAAUGGGCGAAAGCCUGACGGAGCAACGCCGCGUGAGUGAUGAAGGUCUUCGGAUCGUAAAACUCUGUUAUUAGGGAAGAACAAAUGUGUAAGUAACUAUGCACGUCUUGACGGUACCUAAUCAGAAAGCCACGGCUAACUACGUG
rnacentral:rRNA from 1 species